rnacentral:lncRNA from 1 species
AUUUUUAAAGAGGCUGUGGCAGGUGCUUAUAAUAUGCACAUUGUAGUUUUAUUUCCAUCUGGGUGAACAAGAAGUCAGCUGCCUGGAGCUGAGACUUAUUUGCUUAUGGACACAGUGAAAACAACUUGGGAGUAGUAAUGAAGAUGACCAGAGGCCAGCGAGCUGAAAGUGUUUCCAGCAAAGCAGCCCUCUGAUCCAUAUACUUUAGCUACAACUUACAUCACCAAGGUCCAUAUUAUAUACUGUGAUAUUCCAGCUGCACAGCGAAGAAUCCGUCACCUGCUGACAAAAACAAAUGAUGCUGAGAGGUUUGGGCACAAUAAAGUGGAUAAUUAUACACAGGCACUUUUUCCCAUGCAGCAUUCUUUAAGGAUGUGCCAGAGGAUCUUGAAAGAUCUUUGAAGAGCUAUGAACUGAUAGAAAUACAAUCUUGGAUUUAUUUUUUAAUCAUUUGCUAGUUAAUAAAAUUACUGCUUUCAAUGUAGAAUUACAGCUUUUAACUGAUCCUACUUUAUUGCAGAUUUGCAUAAAGAAGAAGACAAUCUAAUGUAAUAUCUGAAAGCAAAACAAAGAGAAUAAUAAUAGUUUGAGGUCUGAAUUAUAUUCCUCUGCCUUUUGAUAUGCAUUGCCAAAUUUCCUGUAAGAUAUCCUAAUAUAUUUAUAUAGAAUUUACAAUUCUAUAUAAAUAUUUUAACUUUCUUAAUGUUGUGAUCUUACUUUUAAGAAUCUGGCAACUUAAAUUCAUGACUACUUAAAGAAUCACUUUAUCCUUAUACAUCUAAAGACACGAAAGUCUUAUUUCCUAAGGAAUAAUUGGACCAAAAAUUUUUCAAGCCAGUUUACUUAAGUCAUUAUUUUCCCUGUAACUCAGAAUACAUUAACUCCAGUAUCAAAAUGUAACCAUUAUGAUUCCUCAUGUCUUCAUGACUCUCUAAACUGUGUUGUUAAUCAUUUUGUGAUAAAUCUUUUCAGCAAGCCUAUGAUGACCAAAGUUCAUUAGGAUCAUCAAGAUGUGGAAAAAAAUAACACUAGGUUACAUUAAAAAUGGAAAACAUGCCAAAUUAACUCUUGCAGAUAACCCACUGUCGAAGAUAGGUGAGAUAAAUAAUUUAGGACAUUCAUUUUACAUUUUCAAAUUAAUAAUGUAUAUUCUGUGGCUUUCUAUUUAUAUAUAGAUCCACAUGGGCUACUAUGAAAAAUACAUUUGUUAAAAUACUUUAUCAAAUUAUUUAAAUAAUAAAAUUGACUUUGUCAAGUUUUGCUCAUUUACAAGUAUUUAUUUUAUGUUUCACUAUAUACCAGCUACUGUUUUUGUUAAUCAGCUUUUUUGAGGUAUAUGUUACAUUCACUAAAAUAAACUCAUUUUUAGUGUGUAGUUCAAUGAAUUUUGAUAGGUGUAUACACUUGUGUAACUACCAGCAUAAUCAAGAUACAACACAUUUCAUCCCUCUAAAAUACUUUUCACCCCCACCCUCUGCUCCAAGCAAUCAUUGAUUUACAUUGUUGUAUGUUAGUCUAUUCUAUAUUCUAGAAUUUCACAGAAAUAAAAUUAUUCGGGUGGUGUUAUUUUAUAUAUGGCCUUUUUAAAUUUUUCUCUUGCCAAGUAUAAUAUUUCUGAAAUUAAUCCAUAGUUUCGCAUUUCAGAAGCUCAUUUCUCUCUAUUGCUGAGUACUCCCAUCCUAUGAAGUUCUCUAUUCAUCUGUUUUUAAGAUAUUUUAACUGUUUCCAAUUUUAAGGUAUUACGAACAAGGUGUUAUGAAUAUUUGUGAAUACAUCUUUGUAUGAACAUGUUUUUAUUCUCUUGAUAAAUACUUAGAUUGCUGAGUCAUAUAAUAAACUUGUUUUUAACUUCCAGUCACGGCUUUAAGCUCCUAAAGUGCAGGUGUUUGUUUGUUUGUUUGUUUGUUUGUUUAUUUUUAAGAAAAAGCCAAUGUUUCAACUCUUAUCCAACUUACAUGCAAACUUAAUUGAACUUACAUAAAAAAAUUAUUCAAUGCUU